GCUCAGGCUCAGGCUCAGCCGCGGGCGGGCGAGCGGGCGCGGGGGGUUGAUCCGUGGUGUCCGCUGCCCCGAGGCAUUGGGCUUUGCUCCAGGCGGGCCCAGCGCUCUGCGCGUGAGGAUGGGGCCAGACGCCGCUGCCCUGCUCCGGGGCAAAUCCACGGGCAGAAAACGGGGAGCAAGAAAAGCUGCGCACUUGAUCUGAUGCCAAGCCAUGCCAGCGAACAAUUUCGCUGUGUCGCUCAUCUCCCUGGAGAACAUCUGCCCAAACUUCAUUGGACACGCUAAGAAAGCAGACAAGACUCCAGAAAAACCUGCGGCCAAGACUCCUGAGAAGACUCCAACCAAGAACCCUUCAAAAAGUCCAACCAAGAGUCUUUCAAAACGUCCAGCAAAGUCUCCUCAAAGAAGUCCUUCUAAAUCAAUAUGAUCACUAUUUACAAUAUAACUACAUUAAUGUAGCUAUUUUACUCAUCUAUAAUUGAUUGAGUACAAAAUUCUGGGUUAUUUUUGGUGAAAAUAGGGUAUCAGACCUUGGUUCAGAAACCAAUCCUCCAUUUAUAAUAUUGUUUCCAAUGGGAAAAUCGGUUCCGAGUUACAUUUUAACUUAAGAUGUGGUUUUCAGGAACCAAUUGUGUCGUAAGUCUGAGGACUGCUUGUGUUCUAAUAUUAUAAAAGCCUAAGUCUGUC